UUGCGUUCCAGAUGCUCACGAUAUUCACGAUUUGCAGGUUUUUUUUUUUGCAGGAAAGCGUUACAGGUGCCAAAAAACCUGUAAGUCAAACCACUUUUGUGAGAGUAACUUGCUCUCUCUCUCUCAGGCAGAAGUUGCAGGUUUUAGUCCGAAGUUUUUCUUCCUGCAAGUUC